CUCAUAGGCAAAAAACUGCAGAUAAUUUGUCUUCCACUCUGUGAUGCACACAAACCACUGCUUUGAUCAUGUGACGUGCAGCUUACAUUUCACUACAGACAGAGCAAGAGGUGGAACAGAGUGUACAGGGUGUUAGCCAACUCUUCCGUCAAUAGCCUCGCUGCUAACCCCACCCUCCUGCCAGCAAAACACAAUGUCACGCUUAUCAGGAGCCUGAGCAGGUUGCCCACUAUCUCAUCUCUCACAGAAUAUCUCAAUUCGUUGCUUUUCCUUUCAGAGUCCCUGGGAUAUUACUGCACCUCAGCAACGUCGUCAACAAAGCUUUGCUACACCUUCUCUCCUUCAUUGCAGAGUGGCUGAUGUCUAGAGAGGCCCUCCAUGUUACGUCUGGAGCCCAUGCAAAUGCUCUAGCCUUGAAUGACCUGUACCAGUGCCUUUCCCCUUCUCAACAUCAGCCACUCCUGCCUCAUCAUAGACAAUGGGAUGUCCUAAAAUGAGUAAAGUAUGCCUUAAAGUAUAAAUGGCUCUACAAACAAUGUACGUACCCUAUAUCAAAUUACAUCAAAUUGUAUUGGUCGUGAACACAUUUUCAGAUACAAUCGCAGGUGCAGUGAAAUGCUUAUGUUUCUAGCUCCAACAGUGCAAUAGUUUAAACUAUAGGUUUUGCAAUAACAACUGGCACCCUGUUGAC
rnacentral:lncRNA from 1 species